AAAGGAAUCGCCUUGUCGAGGGUGUGAAACACAGAGGAGGUAGAUUCCAAAGAUGUGGAGGCGAAGCGGGCUACUGGGACUGGAGAGCGAUGGUCUCAGGAGAAUAUUCCUCCAAACAUCCUGAAGAAGGCAACAGGGUUCCUGUGAAGUGAACCAGGACGGCAGCAGUCAGGAAGGAGAGAGCUGUGGAUGGUGGAACACGAGUCGAAGCAGAGCAGAGAGACCAUUGAAAUGGUCAAUCGAGGAAAAAGACAAUUGCUGAAAAGCACAAAGACUUUUGCACCAUCCAACAAGAUUAUUGUAAAAUAAACUGUGUUGUAAACUAUGAAAAGGAGUGGUGAUGUCGGUGAUUGGUGGUCCAACGAACCCGGAGGAGCAAGACCUCCACACUGCCGUUUUACGCCUUCUGCUUUGAACGUGUCGUUUUUUGGCACCCAA